CUACGGGUGGCACCAGUGAGGAAUAUUGCACAAUGGGGGAAACCCUGAUGCAGCAACGCCGCGUGGAGGAUGACGCAUUUCGGUGUGUAAACUCCUUUUAUGAGUCAAGAAAAUGACGGUAGCUCAUGAAUAAGCACCGGCUAACUCCGUGCCAGCAGCCGCGGUAAUACGGAGGGUGCAAGCGUUACUCGGAAUCACUGGGCGUAAAGGACGCGUAGGCGGGAUGUCAAGUCAGGUGUGAAAUCCUAUGGCUCAACCAUAGAACUGCACUUGAAACUGGCAACCUAGAGUAUGGGAGGGGGAGAUGGAAUUAGUGGUGUAGGGGUAAAAUCCGUAGAUAUCACUAGGAAUACCGAAAGCGAAGGCGAUCUCCUGGAACAUUACUGACGCUAAGGCGUGAAAGCGUGGGGAGCAAACAGGAUUAGAUACCCGGGUAGUC
rnacentral:rRNA from 1 species